rnacentral:rRNA from 1 species
UACAGAGGGGGCAAGGCGUUGUUUCGGAAUUACUGGGCGUAAAGGGCUCGUAGGUGGCCAACUAAGUCAGACGUGAAAUCCCUCAGCUUAACUGGGGAACUGCGUCUGAUACUGGAUGGCUUGAGUUUGGGAGAGGGAUGCGGAAUUCCAGGUGUAGCGGUGAAAUGCGUAGAUAUCUGGAGGAACACCGGUGGCGAAGGCGGCAUCCUGGACCAACACUGACACUGAGGAGCGAAAGCCAGGGGAGCAGACGGG